rnacentral:sRNA from 1 species
GCUAGGCACAAUGGCAGGACCCUGUAGUCCCAGUUAUUUAGGAGGCUGAGGCAGGAGGAUCACUUGAGCCCAGGAGUUCAAAGCCAGCCUGUGCAACAUAGUGAGACCCUGCCUGAG